rnacentral:rRNA from 1 species
UGGGAAAGUUGAUACAAUGGGCGCAAGCCUGAUGCAGCCAUGCCGCGUGUAUGAAGAAGGCCUUCGGGUUGUAAAGUACUUUCAGCGAGGAGGAAGGCAUUAAGGUUAAUAACCUUGGUGAUUGACGUUACUCGCAGAAGAAGCACCGGCUAACUCCGUGCCAGCAGCCGCGGUAAUACGGAGGGUGCAAGCGUUAAUCGGAAUUACUGGGCGUAAAGCGCACGCAGGCGGUCUGUCAAGUCGGAUGUGAAAUCCCCGGGCUCAACCUGGGAACUGCAUUCGAAACUGGCAGGCUAGAGUCUUGUAGA